rnacentral:pre_miRNA from 1 species
AAACAGCCCCCUAUGUUUUGAUUCUUUAGCAGUUUUGGACCCCCAAGGCAAAAAAAUAAAAAUAAAAUUGACAUGUGGCACCUCACUUAGGGUGUCACGUCAGCGUUGACCGAGUCAACAAUGGACUGGGGGUCCAAAACUACCAAAGAAUCAAAACAUAGGGGGCUGUUU